rnacentral:rRNA from 1 species
CCUACGGGGCGCAGCAGUGGGGAAUAUUGGACAAUGGGCGAAAGCCUGAUCCAGCAAUGCCGCGUGUGUGAAGAAGGUCUUCGGAUUGUAAAGCACUUUCGACGGGGACGAUGAUGACGGUACCCGUAGAAGAAGCCCCGGCUAACUUCGUGCCAGCAGCCGCGGUAAUACGAAGGGGGCUAGCGUUGCUCGGAAUGACUGGGCGUAUAGGGCGCGUAGGCGGUUUAUGCAGUCAGAUGUGAAAUCCCCGGGCUUAACCUGGGAACUACAUUUGAGACGCAUAGACUCGACGUCGAGAGAGGGUUGUGGAAUUCCCAGUGUAGAGGUGAAAUUCGUAGAUAUUGGGAAGAACACCGGUGGCGAAGGCGGCAACCUGGCUCGAUACUGACGCUGAGGCGCGAAAGCGUGGGGAGCAAACAGGAUUAGAUACCCCAGUAGUU